AUUGAACGCUGGCGGCAGGCUUAACACAUGCAAGUCGAACGAGUGGCGGACGGGUGUGUAAUGUCUGGGAAACUGCCUGAUGGAGGGGGAUAACUACUGGAAACGGUAGCUAAUACCGCAUACCAUCAGAUGUGCCCAGAUGGGAUUAGCUUGUUGGUGGGGUAACGGCUCACCAAGGCGACGAUACCUAGCUGGUCUGAGAGGAUGACCGGCCACAAGGGAGGUGAGCCACGGUCCAGGAGCCUACGGGAGGCAGCAGUGGGGAAUAUUGCACAAUGAGCGAAAGCCUGAUGCAGCCAUGCCGCGUGUAUGAAGAAGGACUUCGAGUUGUAAAGUACUUUCGGCGGGGAGGCGUUACCCGCAGAAGAAGCACCGGCUAACUCCGUGCCAGCAGCCGCGGUAAUAC
rnacentral:rRNA from 1 species